rnacentral:rRNA from 1 species
UACGUAGGGGCCUAGCGUUGUCCGGAAUUAUUGGGCGUAAAGAGCUCGUAGGCGGUUCGGCAAGUCGGAUGUGAAAUCUCCACGCUUAACGUGGAGGGGCCAUUCGAAACUGCCGUGACUCGAGUCCGGUAGGGGAGUGUGGAAUUCCCGGUGUAGCGGUGAAAUGCGUAGAUAUCCGGAGGAACACCAGUGGCGCAGGCGGCUCUCUGGGUCGGCCCUGACGCUGAGGCACGAAAGCGUGGGGGGAGCGAACGGG